GGAGAGGUGGCAGAGUGGUCGAAUGUACCUGACUCGAAAUCAGGCGUACGUGCAAGCGUACCGUGGGUUCGAAUCCCACCCUCUCCGCCA
rnacentral:tRNA from 44 species